AAUGUUAUUUUCUCAUUUAUUUGGUGAAAAGUGUAAAUAACAAAAACCUCGCUUUUGAAGACGAGUUGCAGACAUUUUUUCGAAAGUGAAAUCCCUAAAUCAUGCUUUCUUCAAUCAACUCUAAAAUCCACCAUUUCCGCUUACGUCACUCUCUUCUUCUCUCACACCUCCAAUUUCUCCUUUAUUACCACACUGCCCCCCGCAGAAACCCUCCAAACGCCACGUCACCUCCAAUUCAAACCCAGUCAAAACCCGACCUUUUCACCGCUCCGGCUCCGGCUCCGACCCAUUUCAGCUGUUCGGAUUUUCAACCCGACACAGUUCUCGAAACCCUAAAUUGUUACGCCAACGACUGGAAGCUUGCGUUGGAGUUCUUCAAUUGGGCAGAAACUCAGACCGGGUAUCAACACACAACUCAAACACUGAACCGGAUAAUCGACAUUCUCGGUAAAUUUUUCGAAUUCGAUGCCGCCUGGAAAUUAAUCGAAAGAAUGAGUAAAAACCCAUGUUCUUCACCCGAUCACACAACUUUUCGGAUUUUAUUCAAGCGUUAUGUAUCGGCUCAUCUUGUUGAAGAAGCAAUCGAAAUUUUCGGUAAAUUAGACGAGUACAAUUUGCGUGACGAAACGUCUUUAUCGAACCUAAUCGACGCUCUGUGCGAGUACAAACACGUCGUCGAAGCCGAAGAGCUCUGCUUCAAGAGCAAAAACGGGGACAAUGUCGAUGGUAAUGUGUUCGGUUUUAGUGUCGAAAGUACGAAGAUUCACAACAUGAUUCUGCGCGGUUGGUUCAAGAUGAAGUGGUGGAGCAAGUGCCGGGAGUUUUGGGAGGCGAUGGACAAACGUGGCGUGACGAAGGACCUGUUCUCGUACUCGAUAUACAUGGACAUCCAAUGCAAGAGCGGGAAGCCGUGGAAGGCGGUGAAGCUCUACAAGGAGAUGAAGAAGAAAGGCGUUCGGUUGGAUGUCGUGGCGUACAACACGGUCAUCCGCGCGAUCGGGAUCUCCGAGGGCGCUGACGUGGCGGUCAGCCUCUACAAAGAGAUGAUCGAGCUGGGGUGCGAGCCGAACGUCGUCACGUUCAACACGAUCUUGAAGCUGCUGUGCCAGAACGGGAGGUAUCGGGAGGCACACCAACUGCUCGAUCUAAUGCCUAAGAAAGGCUGCGAGCCCGAUGUGAUAACUUACCACAGCUUCUUCACUUGCUUAGAGAAGCCGAAAGAGAUUCUGAAGAUGUUCAAUAGGAUGGUGGAAAGUGGGGUCCAACCGAGAAUGGACACGUAUGUAAUGCUUAUGAGGAAGUUCGGGAGAUGGGGUUUUCUUCGGCCGGUUAUUGAUGUGUGGAAAAAGAUGGAAGAACACGGGUUGAGCCCCGACGAGUCUGCAUAUAAUGCUUUGAUUGAUGCUUUGUUGCAAAAGGGUUUGGUCGAUAUUGCGAGAAGAUACGAUGAAGAAAUGUUAUCGAAAGGAAUUUCUGCUAAACCGAGAGCUGAGUUGCAGAAAAAAACGGAUGAUGAAGUAUCGCAAAAUGUGCACAGUUAUACAGGCGCACGCAGUCGAUGACGAUGAGACGAAAUUUAAUGACUCAUUACUUUGAGCAUUUCAUCCACAACCAUGCGCAGAUUGGUAAUGUCGGUGUGACAAACAGAACAGAAUGGGAAAAAUGGCUCGCCGAUUCAGCUGUGUGCCGUUUCUCGUUAAACGAAAAGGGCAAAAUGGUCAUCUCCUGCUAAUCAUCACCAUAACAAAGGUCUUGACUGGCUAUCCCAUCUUAUUGUAAUGGAUUACUUUGUCUUGGUGAAAGAUUGUGAUUGUACAAAUAGCU